rnacentral:rRNA from 1 species
CGGGACGGGUGAGUAACGCGUGGGUAACCUGCCUCAUACAGGGGGGUAACGAUUGGAAACGAUUGCUAAUACCGCAUAAGCGCACAGUACCACAUGGUACAGUGUGAAAAACUCCGGUGGUAUGAGAUGGACCCGCGUCUGAUUAGCUAGUUGGUGAGGUAACGGCCCACCAAGGCAACGAUCAGUAGCCGACCUGAGAGGGUGACCGGCCACAUUGGGACUGAGACACGGCCCAG